UAGAAUGGUUUACAAUUGUUGAAUAGAAAACGAUAAUAUUUUGUAAAUAAACUAAAAGCAUGUGACACUGUCUUUUCACCUAUUAUUUGCUUUCGUGUCUUGUCAUUUAGGAGGGAUCUCCGUUACACUAUUGUAAAUUUAUUCUAUAAAAUUCAAAUAUUGGUUAGUAUAUAAAGAAAGUGUGAGUCAAAAGGAUCCAUAUGAAUUGUUUAUUUUCCUUUUUAAUCCUAAAAUUUGAAACAUGCCUCUUGUGAGCGCAGCUUUUUUGGAACCUGUCCGGAGCGGUAGCAGCUAUAUCACCGUGUCAAAGGUUGUCUCAUCUGUAUUAGGCUGGAUUUGAAAGUGAGCCGUCCGGAAAGAGGUUUUGAGGGAUCACAUCGAGCAUAACGACGUUAAACAAUUGCGCUAUUGGGAGGCAACCCAAAUACUUGCUUUAUUUUUUUAUUUUUAUCAUUAUUUUUUUCUUUCACUUAGUUUAUUUUGUUUUUAGUUUUUAGUUUUUUAAUUUCUUUUAUAAAAAAAUAUAAUUUUUUUUUUCUGGCAGGAGACUAAUUUCUAUAAGGCGUGACCACGCCUUGUUCCCAAACAUCUCCUGUUCUCUAAAAAAAAUAUAUAUAUAUUCUACUAUUACUCUUACAGAAGCUCGCUUCUUACAAGGCGUGAUCACGCCUUGUUUCAAGCUGUCUUCUGUUUUGUUUUGAAAAACUGCACCUCAAAAUUACAGAAGCUCGCUUCUUAUAAGGUGUGACCACGCCUUACUUCAAACCACUCUUUUUUUUUCUUAUUAUUAUUAUUAUUUAUUUUAUUUUUUUUGUUGUUCUUUUUAUUUUUUAUUAUUAUUUUUUUGUUUUUUAUUAUUUUUAUUUAAUUUAUUUAAUUAUUUUUAUUUUUUUAUUAUUAUUAUUAUUUUUUUUUUAAUUUUUAAUUUUUAUUAUUAUUAUUUUUUUUUGUGCUUAAAAAAGAGAGAGAGAGAAAAGAAAAGAGAACGUUUUAUUUUGCCAUAGCCACCAACGUUUUAUUUUCUUUUGCAGUAGCCAUCACCAAAACUUUCUAUUUUCACUGGGUGGUUCUACCUCCUUUCCCACCAUCACCACUCACUAUUCAGUCCGAAUUGCUCUCAAAUCAGGGGAGUUUCAUAUUUCUUUUCAUUUCUUUUGUGAGCCAUUUUCUUUUUGAUACAUUGAGGACAAUGUAUAGUUUAGGUGUAGGGGAGGAAUAUGAUAUAAUUACAUGAUUUCCUUUUCUUUUUGAAAAUAUUUUUUUUAUGCUUAUAAUUAGGUAUGCUUUAAUUCAUAUGUUCUAAUUCUUCUUUUGCAACCUUGAGUUUUAUUUUGAUAACCUGGAAUACCAUGUAAGUUAGAAAUACAUUUUUGGUUUGAAUUUCAAUGCAUGAAAGGGGAUAAGCAUGAUUAGUGUUUCUUUAAAACUAUCCGAAGGUAUCUCAUUAGUUUAUUGAUUGAAAAAUGCACAAGACUUGAUACAAAUGUAAACAUUCAAGUGAGUUUUUGAGCCAAAGAGCAGUUCAUUAUAUUUUGCUCUAAUUAUUUUUUAUUGAGUGUUAUCAAACUAGUAUGAUUAUUCUAGAACUUGCUUCUGAAUUCAUGUUGAGACCACAUUUUUGGAUUGAUGCUUUAAUAUGAUAAGGGCAAUUAGGAUUAACCUAUUCUUACACUCUUAAAAUACCUACCAUGUUGAUUUCCCUUUUAGUUAGCCACUUUGAGCCUAUUUUCCAUUUUCUUUUUUUAUUUUUAACACAUGUUGUUUAACCCAAGACCUUUCGUUUGCUACCUCUAUUUUUCUACCCUUGUCAAGACAAGAAGGGAAGUGUUGCAUGGUACAAAUGAAACAGAAAAAAAAAAGACAAAAAAAAAAGAGAAAAACAAAAAAAAGAGAGGGAAAGAAAAAGAAAAAAAGUGAGAAAAGAAAGUUGAUAUUUAUUCCUUUCAUGAAAGAGGAUAAUUGGAGAAGUAUUCAUCAAAUAUAUUGAAUUGAAUUAUUACAUGUUAUUUCUCCAAGAUUUUUAGAGCUAAUAUAAAAUGUGGGAAUAAAUCUCAAAGUUUUUGUAGUAUGUUUCGUGGAUGUGGCAUAAGUUAUCAUGCAAGAAUCUAAUAUUUUUGUCUUGAUUAUGAAACAUCUCAGCUCCUCCUUUAUCACACCCUUUCCUAAGCUCCAUUACAACCCUUGUAAGGUCCCUUUGAUUUUUGCAUCUAAUUCAUGUGUAGUGGUGGAUACUUGAUUCAGUAGCAAGCUUAUGGUAAUAACAUGCUAUGUUUUGAUUCCGAGAGUAAAUGCACCCUAAACACUUUGAGAGUAUUGAGUGAAACCAUGUGAGGGUGUUAAGUCUCAUUGCUUUGAUUUUGAUGAAUUAUUGAGAUACCUAUUCUUUUUACAAAAUUUAUCCUAUGAGUGCUAAUCUCUUGAUUGUCAUUAUUAUUCAGCUCAUUAAUGUAUGUUUAAUUUAUUUGGUAUUUGAGGAGAUUAAAAGAGAUGAAAGAAAGGUUAAAAGGAGAAUUGGUAUGUUGAAUUGAGGUAUGCUUGAGGACAAGCAUAAAUUAGGUGUGGGGAAAUUUGAUAGGUCAAAAAUAGUUAUAUUUAUUGUGUUUAAUUUCCUUGCGAUUUGGCUGAAUAAUGUACUUAAUUAUGGAAAUUAUGUUUAUUCUGACUUGGGUGAUGAAAUAUCAAGGAUGGAGCAAAAUCCAGCCUAAAGACAUAUUUUAAGUCAUCAUUUAUCAGAAACCAAGUCUUUUGGAGGAAGUGCAGAAAUCUGCACAGAAGAUCACUGUCGACAAGGCGUGACCAUGCCUUACAGCCCCUAAGCUCUGCAGAAAUCUGUGCAGAAGACUACUGUCAACAAGGCGUGACCACGUCUUGCGCCCCAUGAGCUGCUAAAAGAUGCGAAGGAGAGCUUCGAAAUUUUCAGAGUUUUCAUUGUGGUGGACCUAUCCCUAGUUAAUCUCCUCUAUUUUUGGAAGUGUUUGAUUAAUAGAAAUUUCUUCCAUGUAUUUAGGGUUUUAAUUUAUUUAGAUCACUUUUAAUCUUAUCCUUUCUUGUAGGGAUAAGAUUAAAUAGGAAGCUUAUUUCUUUUUGAUAAGGAUUCUAUUAAGGUUUAGGGUUUAAUUUCCUAUAUAAGGAUGGCUGGAAGUACCUUUAAAUAUUGAUAUUCUUAUUCUUCUUCUACUCUCUACAAUUCUUGUGAAUUCUUACUCCACUAUGAGUGGAUAAGUUUUUAGUUUCUAAU
rnacentral:lncRNA from 1 species